GUGGCUCAAGUGAAACAAGGUUCCAGAGCCACGCCACUGGGAGCCUCAUUUUACUCAGAAGAUCGCAGACUGCUGUGAGCAAGAGCUGUCCUACCUCAAGGCCAUCAAAUACCUGGAUACCAAGUGUGUGUGUACACCUGGGCUGUUCUGCCUGUGGUCAUCUCCAUCCUCACCUUCAUCACUUACAUUCUGCUGGGACACCAGCUGACGGCAGCCAAGGUGUUCACCACGCUGGCUCUGGUGGGAAUGUUGAACAUCCCACUCAACUGUUCCCCUGGGUUCUCAACGGCAUCUUGGAGGCCAAAGUGUCUCUGGAGCAAAUCCAGCACUUCUUCAAACUGACCAACCAGGAUCUGCAGGCAUACUACGCUCUGUAUAGGCUGCUGCUUUGAAACAAGUCUUAGCAUGUACUUGGUCCCAUUUGGAGGGUCUCUGUCCUGGGAAGAGCAGGUUUUCUGUAUGUUUAAAACAACCUAUGCUUCAUGUACAGAUCUGAAACUCCACUUUUUGGCAUUUUCUGCUCUCUUUGUGUAUUUCUUGGCAUCAUUGUUGGUCUGCCUGACUGAAGCUGCUCCAUGAAGCUGCUUUGGUUUUCAAGAGAUAUCAAGUAAUGUUACCUAGAAGUAAAAUGAAUGACAGGCCUUAGAAAGUCCAUAAUGUCUAAGAGAAUCUUGCUUUCAUUGGAAAAAUUUAAAUAGUUCCAGCUGUUGUUGUUAUAUCAUGUGUGAUACCAUAUUGCUGUUGUGGUGAAACGUGUGCGUGCACAAUGUCUCCUGAGGACAGCCAGACGUCGGUCCUGUUAAGCCAGGGGACAUUCUCAUGGCAGGAGACAGUCAUGACAAGAACAAAGAUGGAGAAACGGGAAGUGGGCCUGCUAAAGUGGGGGUGACUGUGGUUCAGUGGGUAGAGCAG